CAAGGAUUAGUUUAACAAAAACACUUAAUUUCGACUUAAGCAAUUUCGGAAAUACCCGAAAUCCUUCC
rnacentral:tRNA from 1 species